UACGUAGGGACCAAGCGUUGUUCGGAUUUACUGGGCGUAAAGGGCGCGUAGGCGGCGUGGUAAGUCACUUGUGAAAUCUCUGAGCUUAACUCAGAACGGUCAAGUGAUACUGCUGUGCUAGAGUGCGGAAGGGGCAAUCGGAAUUCUUGGUGUAGCGGUGAAAUGCGUAGAUAUCAAGAGGAACACCUGAGGUGAAGACGGGUUGCUGGGCCGACACGUGACGCUGAGGAGCGAAAGCGUGGGGAGCGAACAGGAUAGAA
rnacentral:rRNA from 1 species